rnacentral:rRNA from 2 species
CUAACCAGGAUUCCCCUAGUAACGGCGAGUGAAGAGGGAAAAGCCCAGCACCGAAGCCUGCGGCAGUUUUGCUGUUAGGCAAUGUGGUGUUUAGGCCGGCUCGCGGGAUUGCCACUCCACUCGAAGUCCAGCAUUGAGUAUGGUCACUGGAAUUGGCCCAGAGAGGGUGAAAGGCCCGUACGGGUGGAGUUUCAGACAAGUCAGGCAAUUCACCAGGUCGACCUUCGAGUCGGGUUGUUUGAGAAUGCAGCCCAAAGUGGGUGGUAAACUCCAUCCAAGGCUAAAUACUAGCACGAGUCCGAUAGCGAACAAGUACCGUGAGGGAAAGUUGAAAAGUACUUUGAAGAGAGAGUAAACAGUACGUGAAGCCGCAUGCAGGUAAACGGGUGGCGCCAAGCUGCGGGCUUGGAGAAUUCAGUUGGCUAGGUUGCAUGAUGCGCCUGACGCGUCUAUCGGUCGGAAUAAGCAGUGAUAGUCCACUGGUAAACGGUGGGCCCGGUCGCAAGACUGGGAUAUGUGUACCGAGCGGAAGCCGGAGCAUGCUAUCUAUCUGUUGGACCGCCUAGUCAGUGCACUUUCUCUAUGGCCAACACCACGACCGGUAGUAUUGCCAGUCUGCUGUAGCCAAGUCGUAUCUGAUGGGUCCUUGUGGCUAAUUGGGUGCGAUCACAGGCAAAUCCAGUGAACGGCGUAGAGUGGCUCUUCGGGGACGCUUUGCGUGUUAUCGGUAACUGGUUGUGAUCGGGUCGCUUGAUGGCGCGGUAACCGUUGUCAGGUGGCCUGGUGGGCUAUGGUGGUAAGAAUAACUGUGCAAGGUACCGGGGUUAGCGACCUCAAUUGCUAUCUGCACGCACGUUGCCUAGUGUAAUGUGGGGAUGGCGUAACCGUGGUCUGCCUGUUGUUGAGUCUGAUUGUCGUGUCGCCCGCAAAAAGUGGGCCCGGCAGUGGCUUGAUGCGGGAUGGGCUGUGGGCGUUGUCUCUGGUGUGGACUGUAGUGGGUCUGAUAGUCAGUGGUGCGGCGGUAGGCUAGCUUCCCGACCCGUCUUGAAACACGGACCAAGGAGUUUAACAUGUAUGCGAGUCAAAGGGUCCUACGAAACCCCAAGGCGCAGUGAAAGUGAAGCUUCGACUUGUCUCGGAGUGUGGUGAGAUCCUGCUGUUACUCGCAUCAGCCUUGGUGUCAGCAUCAGGCUUAAGAGCGGUAGGCGCAUCACCGGCCCGUCUCAUGAUGUGGUCAUUGGAUGUAUGCAGUUGCUGCGCAA